GAACAACCCACCCAUUUGUCAAGAAAAAGCAGCAGCAGUUGCUGCAAGGAGCCAAAAUAUGGAAUUCUUCUGUUAGGAAUAAUCUUGCAUCCUGAAGUAAGAGAUAUUGUUGACAAAUGACUCUAGCAAUAGAAGGCUACAAAUUCAGUUGUAGAAUUACCAUGACUUGGCAAAAGUAACUCCAUAAAAUGCACUAAUUGAUGUCUAAAACUAAGAGGAUAAAUUAGAUCAGAACUAUCCAACUAUGCUUUUUUCCUUUCUUCUCCUCUUGUCUCUGUAUUUCUCUCACCUCCCUUUCUUUUAUUCCUUCCCCCUACCGACCUGAUUCUUGUAGACCUGUGUGUCUCUGAACUGUAGUAUAUUCCAUUUCACCAGUUCAACCCCAACUCAAGAUUUAAAAUGGAUGUUCUGGCUUUUAAUUUAAUUUCUUUUUUUCUUUAUGCAAAUCCUAGCAGAGUCAACAAUACCUUCACAAACAUUGCAAUUUGCAUUAGUUUUCUUAAAUUCCUCUCAUAGAAUUACAGUGAUCAAAA
rnacentral:misc_RNA from 1 species